rnacentral:sRNA from 1 species
CUUCAUGGACACCCACCCAGAUUCACUGGAGAGCAAAGCCUACCAGAGUCCCUGUCAGCAGCACUGUUUCUAGAAGCUUCCACAUGAGCGGACAGCAUGGAGUCCUGGGGGCUAAUGAAGCAGCAACGUCAGCAUGAGCACAGGCAGGGAGAGGCAAGAGGAGCAGAGUAAAGGGGAACGUUCUCUUCAUUCUUCCACCUGCCUGUCCCCCAGCCGACACGUCCCUUCCGUUCCCUGCAAGGCCAUUUCCAGGGAGGCUUACGAAGACAGCAGAUGAUGGUGAUGGAAGGAGUCUGGGUGCUGAGCUGUGCCAUGGACCUGGAGAGAAACUGAGUCCGAGGGAUGUCAACAUGUCAAGUCCAUGAAAUAUUAGUGGGCUGGAAUUCUAGCUGCCUGAAAGAAGACAUUCCUCACAAAAGACCUCACAAUCAUAUCCGUGGAACUAUAGCACUGGGCUCUCCAGAUGGUGCUACAGGAAGACCUCCAGAAAUUUGACAAUCCUCUAUUCAAGGCCCUACCACAGAGACACACAGGAAUGGAACUCAGAAUCACAAACAAACAAACUUUGAUCCAAGAAAGAAAAUGAUCUUUAAAAAGACCCUCGUUUCAUGCUGGCCAAUGCUGAGAAAAUCUGCUCUGGAGGAUAUUUGGAGACACUGAUUAAAAGGUAGUACCAUCACCACAUAUUUAACUUCCCCCUCUUUUCCCUCUGCUUCUAGGAGUAGAGAAACCAACAAAACCAACUAGAGAGAGAUGGUAAGUUUCAAACAAUCUGUCCCCCACCCCACCACUAUUCACACCUUUCACAAGGGCCCAGCCACAAAGCCAGUGCAACAUGACAUCAAUCAUCAGCAAAGUGGAGAUGGUUGUCCCAGUGGAGGGGGAUUCUUCGUGUUACGUAGAUAGCAAGCACGAUGCAAAAGUGUUGAAGCAGGAGUGUAAAGAAUAAUUAAAACACCUGCCCAAGACCCAAGCAAGGAUAGGAUUUCCCAGACAUUCCCGAGGGAGAAAAUGCCAUGUCCUUUCCUUCUGGUGUCACAUCAGAAUCUGAAGGCUGCUAGAGAAGAGAGAGAAACAUGAAAGUGAGUCCCAUGCUGAUUGUUGUUGAAAUACCUGGAAAGAAACUGGCAAAGACUAUCCAAGGGAUGCUAAGACAUGUCCGAACUUACAAAACAGUAGAACCUGAAUAGGAAUUUGAAGUUGUCUAUACUCAGCCACACCCUGCCAUUUUACAGACUGUCUUCUCUGGGGAAGUUAGCUGUCAUGUUGUGAGGAUACUCAAGCAGUUUAUAAAGAGGUUCAUGUCACAAGGAAUGGAGGCCUCCUGCCAACAGCCAUGUAAAGGAGCCAUCUAGGAAACAGAUUCUCCAGCCCCAGUCAGACCUUCAGAUGAUUACAGCCCCUACCAACCUUCUGACUGCGGUGGAAGGAAAGUUCCGGAACCAGAACCACCCAGGUUAAUGUGGGUAAGUCUCAUCCAAUCCUUUGAAGGCCUGAAGAACAAAGAGUGAGGUUUCUGGAAGAAGAAAAUUUUACCUCAAGCCUGCAAUGUAGAAAUUCUGCUUGAGUUUCCUGCCUGCUGGCCUGCCCUGUGGAAUUCGGAGUCAAGAAGGAGUCUUGUAAGCAUUAACUGAGAUAGUAUAUGAAGAGUGCUUUUGCACCGAGUGAACCUUCAAUCAACUGUACUAGUUUGUAUGCCUGGAAGAGCUGCUAUAUGGGAUCAGAAAGAAAAAUAAGGUGCAUACCCCAGAAAAAAAUACUUGCAUAUGAGUACUAGGAGCUGCAUAACAAUGUUCACGGCAGCAGUAUUCAUGGCAGUGAAAAAUGAAAAGAACUGAAAUGCCCAUUGAUAAAAACGUCUACUUAUUUGUGUCAUCUUUGCACAGUGGAAUUGUGCGAGUGGAAAUGAGUGAUCUACAGCUAGGAGAAGCAGCAGAGCUCAAUCUCAAAAAAUAAUGUUGUGUGGAAAAAGCUAACCUCAGAACACUUUGCGGCUCUAUCUUAGCAAACCAGGAGAGAAAUUCUCCUGAUGGCCUUGAAGAAGCAAACAGUCACCUGGUUAAGCCCCUGUGGAUAGUGCCAAGUGGCAGGAAAGUGGGAGCCGCCUCUAGGACCUGAGGAUUAAAGUCAGUAAGAGCUGGGACCUCACUCAUGCAGACUCGAGGACAUGAAUUCAACCAACAACUUGAAUGAGCUUGGAAGUGGAUUCUUCCCUAGUCCAGUCUUCAGAAAUUAAGAAUGUUCCCAAAGAAUGAUGGAGACAUUUCAAAAGGAUACAGAAGCCAGAUUGUGGGCGCUUCUACUGGCCAACUCUGGGACAUCGUGGACAUCAAAAUAAAUUUGUAAUAAUAAAGGAUUAUAGCCUAUUAGUUAAAUCAGAUUUUUCUGAUUUAACUAAAUGAGUAGGAGGAAAAGAAAGCUCUUCCUUAUAUUAGAAAGUCAAUUAAUAAAUGCAGAAAGGAAUGAAAAAAUUAGAAAGGCCACCAUUUGGCAACCAUGGCAGGCAGAAUGGGGAGUAUGCCUCCAGACAGUAAUUCCUUUCAAACUGGUUUAUAGGAACUCACUGAGCUUGCUGAUCAACCUCUGAGAGGCAAAGUUUCUGAAUUUUGAACUACUGAUUAUAUAAACUUAGGCAGAGACAUGCUUCAUUAUUUAAUAGGACUGUGUCAAAAGCCUACUAUUAGGAUGAUGUGUUGGGUGUGGAACAGGGUCUCUUCCUGCCAGGAACACUGGUGAUUUCACUCCGUGUUCAGGCUGAUCUUUGAAGUUGAAGACAAGCAGAAGAAUCCUUCUAAAAUUUAGCCAUGCCCAUAGGCUGGGAGGGACACUGCUCCAUUCAGAGGCAGCAAAGCACAUUACUGUAUCUCCUAGAGAGCUUUGAGCAGUCUAGUGCACAUGGAGAAACUUAGUAAAUGUUUGUUGAAUUAAUGAAUGAACAAAUCAAUGGACCAAGUCAGGGAUAAGUCUUACAUUUGUCAUCUAGGUGAUUAAGAAAGGAAGAAGUAUCUGUUUCAAGAGGAUUACAAUCUAACUGUACUCCAAUAGUAAAAUUUACUCUUUUGGAAUCUGAAGACA